UAGGGAAUCUUCGGCAAUGGACGAAAGUCUGACCGAGCAACGCCGCGUGAGUGAAGAAGGUUUUCGGAUCGUAAGACUCUGUUGUUAGAGAAGAACAAGGACGUUAGUAACUGAACGUCCCUGACGGUAUCUAACCAGAAAGCCACGGCUAACUACGUGCCAGCAGCCGCGGUAAUACGUAGGUGGCAAGCGUUGUCCGGAUUUAUUGGGCGUAAAGCGAGCGCAGGCGGUUUCUUAAGUCUGAUGUGAAAGCCCCCGGCUCAACCGGGGAGGGUCAUUGGAAACUGGGAGACUUGAGUGCAGAAGAGGAGAGUGGAAUUCCAUGUGUAGCGGUGAAAUGCGUAGAUAUAUGGAGGAACACCAGUGGCGAAGGCGGCUCUCUGGUCUGUAACUGACGCUGAGGCUCGAAAGCGUGGGGAGCAAACAGG
rnacentral:rRNA from 1 species